UUCCUGUUGAGUUUCUGUUGCUACGGCAACCGUUUAGCGCAGCCGAAAUCUGUAGUCAAACAUUGUGCGAUAGCGUUUUAUGUCCCAUAGUUUGGAUUCAUGGACGUUAUCGAAAAGAGAAUAGACAGCAUUGCGGAUGAAGCCGAGGAGGAGCAGAUUUCAGAAGAGAUUAAGGAAAUACGUCGGUAUGCUCUGUCAAACCAGCUGAGGGCAGGAUUUUUUGGACAAGAUGCCUGUGUCCAAACUGACGAGUCAGAGCUGCCAAAUAUAAAGAUACUCGCUGCCAACACUGCAGAGCUUAUGAAGGAAAUGAACAUGUUGAAAGAAGACACUGAAAAGAAAAUGAAAAUAAUACGUUUGCAGUAUGAGACCAAACUGCAGGACGAAUCUGAUGCCCUUUAUGCAAGUAUGAAUGAUAAAAUCAAGAAUUUAGAGAACUGCCACAAAGAGAAAUUAUCUGUUCUUCGGAGAAGCUAUCAGCAGCAGCUCUCAGAUGCUAUGCAGGUGAUCAAAGCCAGCUAUAAGAAUAAAGAAGAGACGGAUCUGGUUUGUGAUGUUACUGAUGGAAGAGUAAAGGACCUUCUGGAUGAGCUUCAGGAGAAGAACUUGAAGAUUGAGUGGAUGGUUGAACAGCUAAAGAAAUAUGAGAUCGACUCCGAGGGAGCGGAGGACCCCGAGAAAAGCAGACUGAAGUCAGAGAAUGAAAAGCUAAAAGAUAACAUUGACUCGUUGCACGUCGAGCUGGAAGAAAUUCACCGAGUCCUGGAAUCCAAAGAGGAGAGGCUGGCUCUGGAUUUGGCACAGUUAAAAUCAGAGGCUGACGACAGCAAAAAAGCCCUUCAAAAGUUGACAGGUGAACAUGAGCAACUGAAAAUGCAGUUAAACCUUGAAAGAGAAAGUGGAAGAGAAAAGAUAAAACAGUUAAAAGAGGAAAUGAAGCAAGAAAUUGCAUGCAUUGAAGCCUCACGCAUGAAGGAGAAAGCAGCCAUUGAAAAGAAGCUUGAGAAGCAGAAGCCAGCAGAAACUACAACCAUGGAGCUUGCUGGGGAUACAGAGUUGGCUCAAAACAUAAAAGAACUUAGAAACACUGAAGCAAUGCAGAAAAAGGAGAUUGAAAGGCUCAGUAAGCAGUUGUGCAUGUCCAAUCAGGUGUGGGAAAAGAAGUUUGAGAUUUUAAGACAGAGGUACACCGCAACUCUAAUUGCUUUUUCAACUGACUCCAUGAGCUCUUCUACAUUGGCUAUUUCUCUCUUAAGUUUCCAUGCCAUCAAGGAUGAGAUGUUCUUGCGGCAGACAUUGCAGCGGCAGGAAGCCAUUCUGCACAACGCCUCAGUCAGCUUUGCGAUGGAUACUCCUUGCUCACCACGGCAGAAGAGUCCAGCAGACAGUACUUUUAAAAGGCUGGGCUAUAGUAAUAUGGCUCCUUUGCCACGUAUAGGUGCUGGAGGCCAGCUGAAGAUGGACAUCAGCCUACAGAGUGAGAGAGGAGCAGAUGCUCUUCCUGGAUUAGAUCCCAAGUUGACCGUUGCCGAUGAGGAAGAUGAAGAACUGCAUUUGUGUUGCAAAUACAUCCCUGCUGAGAAAUGCUUAUAAUAGGAGAAAUCAGUUGGACAGCAGUGAGGUUCAUGCCAGCGAACAACUGAAAGAAACCUGGCAACUAGGGGAAAAACCCUCUCAAGUCCAUCCUGUUGAACAAAAGGCGGUCGACGCAUUGAGCAAAGAUGCAACGAGUUCUGCGUCCCGGGCACAUGACGUGCAUCAUGGAAACAUAUUGUAUCGAAAUCGUUUGUGGGAGAAUACCGGGGAUGAAAAAGAAUGGGGCGCUUUGAUCCGCGCCCUGGGGUCCCGAGCUCCCCGAGUGCGCGCAGACUGACUGCAAGGCCUUAUUCACUUUCAGAUAGACACACUUACAAACGCUACUGAAUGAAAUUUGCAUAUUUGUAAUUUAUCACAUUUUAGCCCGACUUUUCUGUCUCUUUGCGGAAGGUAGAAGUCUGAAUAAAAAACGGGAUCAAUUAUCAACGCGAAGCUGUUCACUUCUCAUAGGCAGAACGCUGGCUCUUUUGGAAAAUUAGGAAAGAAGUUGCUGUUAGGAAAAAAAGGAAAACUGUGAAAAAAUAGAACCUUUUUAAGCCAAAUUUUACUUUUCAUUUUUGUCAUGUAAAAAAAAAAAAAAACUAAAAACACUGCUUUAAAAUUAUGCUACGAAAAUUACUAACAUAAAGUAAUUGCAUAAUUUGCACAAUUCGAUCAUUUAUUUAUGGAACUGUUGCAUGCCUAGCGGAAUGGAGAGUACUGAAAUUUUUCAAGUUUCUAAGCCCUCAUUCCCUUGGCCAUGGGCUCGGACAAAGCAGAAAACAUUAAUAAAAGUAUGGGAUCCAGGCAUUGAAAUGAAGUGACAGGCAGGGUCUGGAUAUCUUAGCACUGACACAAAACCGCAUACGGUAACUACAUGCCUGCCUUGAAAUACGAGAGUUUGAAUAAAGGAGCAGUAAUAUUUCAUAUGGGGCACGCAAAAGCUGGAUACAAUGCCUCUCAUAUUAAGAACAAUAUUCAGUCCAUUCUGUGGCGAACAAAGAUCAUAGCAAGACGUCUUUGAGGCUAAUUCAGUCAAAGGCACAUUUUGGCUUCC